AGCUUAAUCGCCUUGCCGGCUAUGAUGUUACUAUUGGAUUGGUAUAUUUCAAAACUUUGGAGUCGGUGUUAAUUGGGCCAACUAAUACUUGUUGAUGUAAUACUUGACAUUCUUUAUGCACGCCAUUCAUGCUUUACAUGUUAGGUAAGUGAUUGGGGUUUUGAGCAUAAAGUAGGAAAAUAAUUAUAACUCUCUAUUGAAUUA
rnacentral:lncRNA from 1 species